rnacentral:rRNA from 1 species
UACGUAGGGGGCAAGCGUUGUCCGGAUUUAUUGGGCGUAAAGAGCGUGUAGGCGGCCAAGCAGGUCCGCUGUGAAAACUCGAGGCUCAACCUCGAGAGGUCGGUGGAAACCGUUUGGCUAGAGUCCGGAAGAGGAGAGUGGAAUUCCCGGUGUAGCGGUGAAAUGCGCAGAUAUCGGGAAGAACACCCGUGGCGAAGGCGGCUCUCUGGGACGGUACUGACACUGAGGCACGAAAGCGUGGGGAGCAAACAGG